rnacentral:rRNA from 1 species
UACGUAGGGGGCAAGCGUUGUUCGGAAUUACUGGGCGUAAAGGGCGCGUAGGCGGCACGGCAAGUCAGGAGUGAAAGCCCUGGGCUCAACCCGGGAACUGCUUUUGAGACUGCCGAGCUAGAGUGCGGAAGGGGCAACUGGAAUUCCCAGUGUAGCGGUGAAAUGCGUAGAUAUUGGGAAGAACACCUGAGGCGAAGGCGGGUUGCUGGGCCGACACUGACGCUGAUGCGCGAAAGCCAGGGGAGCGAACGGG